UCUAUUAUAAAUAUAAGAAACAAAUAAGAUAAAACAGAUAAUUUAUAUAGAUGCAUAAUAAUGAUAAAAAUUUUGCCAAUCCUUGAGAUAAAUUAAAAUUAAUAAUUUAAAUAAAUUUAAAUAAAUUAGUUUACGAAUUUAUUUUAUUUUUACUCUAACUAAAGAACUUCAGAAGAAAACCUAGAAUGGAAAAAACAUUGAUUAUCCAAGCUAAUAAGAUAAAUCUUUUUCUAUAAGCGUCUUUUCAGAUAAUCCUUCUAUGAGUACCGAAGUUACAAAUAUUUUUAUUAUAAAAUGAAAAUAAAACAAUUUUAGAAGAUGAAAUUUUAUUCUGUGGAAUAAUGUAAGAUAAGAAUUAAUUAUAAGUUUAAAUUUUUAUUUAAUUUCAGAUUAAAGUUUUUUUUAGAAUCCUAUUUUCAUUAGAUAUUAAUAAAUCAAAGAUACAUACACAAUUUUCAUAUCUUUCCUAAAAUGCAAAAUAAAAACACUUAAAAUAAAGAGUAACUACGACAAAGUGUUUAAAACCUUCAAGUUCUCUCUUUCCUAUGAAAUAAAAUAAUAUCUAAAUUGCAAUAUCAAUCGCCUUUCAAUUGUAUCAACAAAAAUUAACUUUUUAAAUUCAAAAGAACUAGUUGUAAUAAUAAUAAUAAUAAAUUAGAAUAUAUGAAUUAAAUAUUUUUAUAAUCUAAUGACUAUAAUGAAGUCGAGAUUCCUGAAGUUCUAAAGUUAACCUAAAAAUCUCGAACACAAGUACUAUUAUGAAAACGUUGGAAAUUAAUGUAACAUCGUAUUAUAUAUCUUCUUUACAUUCUUAUAUUACGAAUUUCUCUGCAAGUAGAAGCUAUGGAUCGAUACAACCAAAUUUUACUUGCCAACAAGGUGAAUGUCUACAGAUCGCUUCAAAAAAAAUCUUAUAAUUGAGGGGAAAUAAAAUAUAUAUACAACAAUGAUACGAAUAUUUAUACAAUAAUAAGUAAUAAUAUAAUAAUUGCAACAUAAUAAUUAUAUCUAUGUAAUUUCUAAAUAUUUGGAUGCAUAAUAUGAUAAUAAGAGGAUAUGUA